rnacentral:rRNA from 1 species
ACGUUGAAACACCAGUUCCGGUAUGAUCAUCGUAGUUAAACAAUGUUGAGCUUGGUCAGUACCUAGAUGGGUGACCGCUUAGGAAUAUCAGAUCUU